rnacentral:rRNA from 1 species
UACAUGGGGUGCAAACGUUGCUCGGAAUUAUUGGGCGUAAAGCGCGCGUAGGCGGUUAUCUAAGUCGGAUGUGAAAGCCCUCGGCUUAACUGAGGAAGUGCACCCGAAACUGGAUAGCUAGAGUACGAAAGAGGGUCGCGGAAUUCCCGGUGUAGAGGUGAAAUGCGCAGAUAUCAGGAGGAACACCAAUUGCGAAGGCAGCUCGCUGGGACGUAACUGACGCUGAGACGCGAAAGCGUGGGGAGCAAACAGG